rnacentral:lncRNA from 1 species
CCUUCAAAUUUCAAUUUUACGAUUUCCUCGUCCUUCCAUUUCGCGUGGAUUGCAUCGGUUAAUGCUUGUGUUAUUCCCGCUGCCCCGACUUUCAUUCUCUCUACCAUCCUCAAUGCCACAUUUCUAAGCCUCUUCAGUUCAGGUUCCGGUAUCAAUUUUUCUGCCAACUCUGUAUUACUCUUCCUUAACUUCUCCUCUUUCACAGGGUCCUCAUUAGUUCCUCUCUGCCAUGGUAAUCUCAUAGAAUCACUAACAUCAUCUGAUCCUUUUUUACUGCUGAAUUCUUGAGAAAUGCUCCGUGAAUCCUCCACAAAAAAGGCAUCUUCACUCUCGUCUUCAAUCAAAAUCUCAUAUUUUUCUGAUAAUCCUAUAGGGAUAGUAUCAACCUUGCCACUUGUUUCAUCACAAUUGCAAUCUAAUUUAACUCCCUUUAUCAAAUCCCCAGAGUCUUCAACAACACUACCAAAAGCUUCAUCAUUUUUACAAUGCUCAGAAAACCCAUCAAGGUUUUGCCCUCUAUGAUUACUUUCUUCUUGAAUUUUUUCUGUAGCUUGAGAAUCAGGCAAGUCCUUCCUUGGUUUAUUUCCAUGAACCCAAGGAGCUAAAAUCGACUUAUUUCUUGAACUAGAGCUCGCAGAGCUAUCCCCAGAAGUAUUAUCCUCACUUACUGUCACAGUAACGACACCCUCAGAUAACGGCAGCAGAUGUUCUUCAUAAUCCUGAAUCGAAUCAUCACUCUCUUGUUUAUGUUCUUCCCAAGGGAAUUUCUCUCUUAAAGAAGGGAUUUUGAGGGACCAUUUAUCUUGAAUUUUUUCAAUAAAGCUUGGCCUGGGUUUUCUCUUCUUCUUUACAGGGUUGGUUUCGUGUUGAACGGAUUUUGUGCAAGAAAUUUUCAAUUUUUGACCUCGAAAUCUGUUUGAACAAUGGGGUUGUGAGUGAAAUGUGAUCAAGUAGAAAGAUUGAGAAGAAUAUGAAGAUGAAGCAGAGAACAAAUUCGAAGGCAGGGGUGAAGGAGCCAUGGUGAUGAGGUUGAAGAAUCUCUGCGAGAACGAGCCUUAAAAAGAUGGCCUGAAAAUUUCUGACUAACCCAAAUUGCCAAUGAAAAUGGGUUUAGGAAUUUUACAUAAAUAGCAUUAAAUGUGGGAAACUAUGAUCACUUGGCAUCUUAAUAGUUAAUAGAAUAGAACUAAUGAAUAGCUCAAGCACUUUACCUUAAAAAUUUUAAAUUAUCUAAUAGGGAUGGGAAAAUAUUUCGCGACCGCCCGAUAUUACAGUGUCCUAUCUCGAACAGAAGGAAAUUUCUACUUCAUUAGAAGAUCAUGGGAAUGAAGAACAUGGUCCCUGUCCCAAAUUUCUUAUACAUUCCUAAAUCUUAUAAUUUUAGAAAAUAUUAAAAAAAUAAUUAAAUAACAUAUUAAAUGGAGAUAUUAUAAUUCACGCUUCUCUCUUCUUCUCUCGAUAAUCUUGUCAAAGCGGUCUCAUUUGCUUGACCUUAUACCUUUAAUUUUUUAUUUUUUAAGACAAUAUCAAACACACCUCUCGAACUUUUACGCGCAAUCACUUUUACUCAUACCUCAUAUAAGUUGGGUUUAUUAUCAAGUAAAGAAGAAAUUUUCUACAAUUCGUGCAGUUAUGGUUAAUUCGUUCAAAGUAAACUAUGUAAAUAUAAAUUGACAUAUAGUAAAUAGAAUUCGUUUGACGUUGUUUAAAUUUAACUAUAUGUAUUUAGUUAUUUUGUUUAUAGGUAGGAUUACUUUUGUGAACAUUUAUGUUUAGACAUAUAUCAAAUUUAAUUUGACAAAUUAGUUAUUUACGAGUAUAAAUAAAUAUCAAAUAAUAAAAAAUGAUAUUAUGAUAUUCUUUUGAAAUAUUUUAAUGAUUAAUAUAUUAAAAUUCGACUGUAUAACAAUGUCAUCAUUAAAUAAUAAAUUCUGAGGGUAUGCAAUGAUUUAAUGAAUUAAUGUAUACUAUAUUUUAAUUAAAUUUUACUUGAAUUGAUUCAAAAUAAUAUGUUUAGUAGACAAAUAAGUGUACUUCAAGAUAUAUUUUUCUUCUAGGUGGAGGAGUUGUAUCUUCGAGAACUAGUAAGAAGUUAUAAUUGCAUCUACUACAAUGAAGGUAGAACUAAUUGGUUUCUAUAAAGCUACAACACUCACAUUAUUGUUGGGAAAUUUCAUCAAAGCGUUAAACGUUGUUGAUACUAUAGGGAAGCCUUUGAAGAUUUAUUGCGAUAGUUCGAUUGUACUUUUCUUUUCAAAAAAUAAUAAAAGUAGAAGUCGAAGUAAAAAUAUCACUAUAAAAUAUCUGGUUGUUAGAGAUCAUAAAAUGAAAAAUAAAGUGAUCAAUGAGCAUAUCAAGAAAGAUUUUGUGAUAGCAGAUCACGUGACUAAAGGCUUGUCAGAUAAAGUUCAUGAAUAGCUUGUUGAGAACAUGAGAUUUGCUUGCACUAUCAUGGUACUCUAAUUUUUUGUGUUUAAGAUUGUUUUUUCUAUGUUUUAAACGAUGUUAUUGGUGCAAAGUUUAUGAUCGAUAUUCAAUUGUGAUUAUUAAAGUUUAGACCCAAAAUGACUUUAGGAAGUUUAUUCAUAAAAUAAAGUAUUCUUUCAUAAGUGAACGUACUUGUAAUUUAUGGAAGGAAAUAUUUGGUUAUGAAAAAAGGACAUUCAUGAUUCAAGUAUUGUGAGUUUCUAUUUGAACAAGUUAUUGGCAAUUUCACUAAUGAUAACAUCGAGUAUCCACCUUAAAGUUGUGGACCAAGUGAAAAAAUAAAACCAUUUAUGGUCUCAUAUUCAAUUUAAAGUAUGAUUUUAAUUAAUGGUGGCUUAAUUAACUUCACAUAUGGUUUAUUAAAUGGAUGGAAGUUGUGUAGUGGUUGUCUACAUUAAAAUGUCAAUGGAUCCCUAGCCAAAUUUGAUACAAAAUUCCUUCAGAAUUUUUUUCUAUUAAGUAAAAAAUCAUUUGUUUGUUCCAUUAAGUAAAGGGUGUUAUCAAGUGGGUCAUGGCAAGAAGGCUUGUUGGAGCCACCGGCUAGCACUAACAGUGGUCCAUGUUGAAUCCGUCGUAUUAUAAAAAAUAAAAAAUAAAUAAAAAAGAUUUGUGUCAAUUUAUAUAUUUGUUUCGAUAUAUAUCUAUAAUUUCAUUUAUUCUCUUGCCGCUCGGCUGGUUAGAGCAUCUGUUUAGUGAGUUGGAGGUCUUAAGUAUUGGCGGAUCGAACAUUCGAGGUCCUGAUCCGCCACUGAUUGGAGCUAUGCGAUUUUUUUACUGCCAAUUUUCAAUUGUUAAAUCUUAGAAAAUAUGUAUGGAUGUACUCAUUUAAUGUGUUACCCUCUGUGUGUAUCAAAUAUGAAUUAUUCUGAUAGACAAAUAUCCGUGCAAAAAAAAAUAGAUCAAGUCUUAGAGGAAGACAAAAUGAUUACAUAAUAUAAGGGGUACCCCAUGUAACGUCCCAAGUCAAUUACUCUUUUAUUUUAUUUAUAAAAACAUAGAAAUGUUACCAAAUAUCUCCUCUAUCUAAUUUAAGCAAAAUUUUCUCUCUUUUUAUUAUUUAUUUGAUUUGAUCAGUAAAUUGAUAAAGAUAAUUCAACGAUUUAAAUUGACCAAUAAAUUGAUAAAGAUAAUCCAAAGGUUUAAAUAAAUUUAAAUAUGUUGUGAAAAGAGAAGAAAACAGAAAGAAAUCAAUAGACUUGUGUGUAUUUUAUUAAGAACCAAAGCUCUGUAUUUAUGGGGCAGAAUCAGGGAUACAACAGUAAUUAUUUCUAGGGCUGCAAGGGUGUAAUUGCCAUUCACCUCUAAACCCUAAUAAACUUUCCUUUUACAACACUCCCCCUUGAAUGACAUAUUACAAAAUAUCUGCCUCGUUAAAAUCUUGUUUGAUAAAAAUCUAAUGGGACAAAAAUCAAAAAGAGUACAGUUAUUUUAGAGUACUAAAAAUAAAUGCUGCCUCAUUAAAAUCUUGCUAGGAAAAAUCAGUGGGACAAAACCUAAGCUAAGGAAAAUAGUACAGCUACUCCCCCUGACGUUGAUCACUGAAAAUCUUUGAGUCGACGCUAAAUAAUGAUGUUUUGGGAUUAUGUUGGGAAAAAGUGACAUUCAUUCAAAUAUAUAAUUUUCACAAUUAUUAGUUUUUUGAACUUUUAUAUUUCUCUUUCUUAAGACUAUAGUUACAUUGUUGUUUGGUUCUUUCUUUGGAAGGUUAUUUUUGAAAUGUAGGCGGGGCAGUUGGAUAAAAAUUAGUAAUUAACAUAACCCGAAAGCAACUAGUACAUGAUCUAUUUCAAACCUUAAGUUCUUCCGCCAUCCUUUCAUUCAAAGUAUUUUGUACACCGCGUUUGAUGGCUAUCUUUGCAAUAGCACUCUUCUUCCAUAACUUCACCAUGGCCAUAGCAAGACCUUGCAAUUCUCUGUUUCUUCCUAGAUCAUUAAGCAAAUAUAGCUAAUAAAAAACAAAAAUCUGAAUAUUAAAUAAAUUCACAUAUCAUGUUGAGCAUACCGAGGGCAAAAUGUGGAAGCAUUUUUCUGGCAGUUCUGCGAAAAUAUGUCAUUUCUUUGUUCCGUAAUGCUUGUCUAACCCCAUUGGGAAGUAGUCUAAAUGGGGGUCUAUAUCCUGGAACGACAGCAGGCAGCAAGUCUGCAUCAACAGGCAGCGGUUCCGGACCUGACCAAUCUAUGAACCUUGGACCAAGCUCGUCUAAAAGAAGGUUGAGCUCACUUAGAUCCAUUAGCUCCUCUUCAGAUAGACCAUUCAAAUACUUAGAAGUAUAAUUUUGAGAUGAUUCUGCAGCUCCAGAUAACAGUUUCACGUUACCGCAUUGAGUAACAUCAUUAACAGAAUCUGACGAAGAUCUAGCCUCAAUAUCAGCUUGAAUACGUUUACUAUAUGCUUGCACACAAUCAAGUUGGUAAGACAUUCCUCUGUAUAGAACUACCGAACUUCCUGAUCUCCAUAUAACCAAACCUCCAGUUCUAGCCUAACAAUUAAACAGCACAAUAUAUGGAAGAAGAAAUACACUUCAUCAUGAAUUCUUGUAAACCGUGAUACAAAUAAAUCGUAAAAUUGAAAUUUGAAGAGAAACUACAAUGGUAAGAAUGUAAUGAACAAAGAAAUAGUUUAAUGCUCACGAAAUUAGCAAUUCAACUUGAAGGCAGCAUUUACCCACUAGUACAAUAAACAUUUAUUACAAUUGGCAGUUAAAUCAUUCUUCUCUACUAAAAAACUUAAGAUAAGUGGACACUUACCUCAAGAAUCUCAUGUGUCCUCUUCAUGUUCUUUGAAGGAGGCCCUUCAAAUUUCAAUUUUACGAUUUCCUCGUCCUUCCAUUUCGCGUGGAUUGCAUCGGUUAAUGCUUGUGUUAUUCCCGCUGCCCCGACUUUCAUUCUCUCUACCAUCCUCAAUGCCACAUUUCUAAGCCUCUUCAGUUCAGGUUCCGGUAUCAAUUUUUCUGCCAACUCUGUAUUACUCUUCCUUAACUUCUCCUCUU